CGAUCCGUUGACAGUGCAAUACAGCGAAUCUGAGAUCUACCUUUUGAAUUUGUUUUUGUGACGAAUCGGUGAAACUGAUAAAUUUCUGGAGGCGCUAUGUAUUUGCUCUCGAAGAA
rnacentral:rRNA from 1 species